rnacentral:misc_RNA from 1 species
AGAUGAGCCAUCAGACAUAUCCAAGACCGUGCUGCGAAGCUUGAUUCCUUGAAUGGACCUCAAUACCUCCAUCGAAGGCAUUUUAAGAAGGUGAAUUCGGUUAUCUGCACAAGAUAUAGAGGACAGAGAAGGAUCCGAUGAGAUGGUAAAAUACAAAAGGGGGGAUCCUAUUCGCGGGAGAAAUUUCUGCUUCCCAGUAUCUAACUGCCAAACCACGAGAACUCCUUCCUUCCCGCCUGAGUAAAGAUAGGCACCGUCGGAAGAGAAAAAGAGAACUUUCACUUCUGCAGAGUGCCAAUGUCUUGUGGUACAAAUAUCAGCAUCAUCUUUUUCCCUAACUCCAGGAUUCUCCUCCAUGUCCUCCAUUAGUCCUCCACUUCUCUGUUUAUUUCCAGAUGAUAAAUUAUGCUCCCCAACACCCCUCCAUAUUAAGAUCCUUCCUGUUACAUCUCCAGCUGAAACUAUUCUAUCUGUUGGAUGAAAAGCUAGAGUGCUCAGGGUUUUCGUAUGAUGUAAUCUGAUGUUCUGAAGCACUGAAUGAUCAGAAUCUUUAGUUGGUAUUUCCCAAAUGCGAAGCUUGCGCUUGUCACAGACGCCCAUGUAUCUUCCAGAGCAGCUUAAUGUUAUAGAUAGUGCGUUUUUACUCUCAGCCAGAGUCACUCCACCAACCAAAGUACAUUUAGUUAAGUUACACUUCCUUAUCUGCCACCAUAAAGCACAGCUCCCUCCCAGCUGUUCUUUCAACACUAUGACAGACACAUAUGCAAA